rnacentral:rRNA from 1 species
CAGCCGCCACGGUAAAACGUAGGGUGCAAGCGUUAAUCGGAAUUACUGGGCGUAAAGCGUGCGCAGGCGGUUAUAUAAGACAGAUGUGAAAUCCCCGGGCUCAACCUGGGAACUGCAUUUGUGACUGUAUAGCUAUAGUACGGCAGAGGGGGAUGGAAUUCCGCGUGUAGCAGUGAAAUGCGUAGAUAUGCGGAGGAACACCGAUGGCGAAGGCAAUCCCCUGGGCCUGUACUGACGCUCAUGCACGAAAGCGUGGGGAGCAAACAGGAUUAGAUACCCGCGUAGUCCCUGUCUCUUAUAC